AGCCUGAGAAACGGCUACCACAUCUAAGGAAGGCAGCAGGCGCGCAAAUUACCCAAUCCUAAUACAGGGAGGUAGUGACAAGAAAUAACAAUACAGGACUUUUUGGUUUUGUAAUUGGAAUGAGUUAAGUAUAAACCCCUUUACAAGUAUCAAUUGGAGGGCAAGUCUGGUGCCAGCAGCCGCGGUAAUUCCAGCUCCAAUAGCGUAUAUUAAAGUUGUUGCAGUUAAAAAGCUCGUAGUUGGAUUUCUGUUAAUAAUUUAUAUAAAAUAUUUUGAUGAAUAUUUAUAUAAUAUUAACAUAAUUCAUAUUACUAUUUUUUUUUUUAGA
rnacentral:rRNA from 1 species